UGGGGAAUAUUGCACAAUGGGGGAAACCCUGAUGCAGCGACGCCGCGUGAACGAAGAAGGUAUUCGUAUCAUAAAGUUCUGUCCUAUGGGAAGAUAAUGACAGUACCAUAGAAGAAAGCUCCGGCUAAAUACGUGCCAGCAGCCGCGGUAAUACGUAUGGAGCGAGCGUUGUCCGGAAUUAUUGGGCGUAAAGGGUACGCAGGCGGUUUAAUAAGUCGAAUGUUAAAGAUCGGGGCUCAACCCCGCAAAGCAUUGGAAACUGAUAAACUGGAGUAGUGGAGAGGAAAGUGGAAUUCCUAGUGUAGUGGUGAAAUACGUAGAUAUUAGGAGGAAUACCAGUAGCGAAGGCGACUUUCUGGACACAAACUGACGCUGAGGUACGAAAGCGUGGGGAGCAAACAGG
rnacentral:rRNA from 1 species